rnacentral:rRNA from 1 species
UACGGGGGGGGGGCAAGCGUUGUUCGGAAUUACUGGGCGUAAAGGGCUCGUAGGCGGCCAACUAAGUCAGACGUGAAAUCCCUCGGCUUAACCGGGGAACUGCGUCUGAUACUGGAUGGCUUGAAUCCGGGAGAGGGAUGCGGAAUUCCAGGUGUAGCGGUGAAAUGCGUAGAUAUCUGGAGGAACACCGGUGGCGAAGGCGGCAUCCUGGACCACAACUGACGCUGAGGCGCGAAAGCGUGGGGAGCAAACAGG